CCUGCAGCAGAAUAGAACAUAAAAGCUGCGACAUAAUGCAUGUAUGAAACCACACACAUCACAGUCCCACACACUGCAGGAGCACAUGUAAAUAUAACACCACACUGCUUGAAAACACAAAAGCUGCUGUCUCUAUGAGGUUGUUGUACUCACCAGUCAAAAGAAAGAGCGUCCUGUCAGCUUUACGCAGAGUGAUGUCCUCAACACCUGAUCCUGGAUCAACUUCUUCCCUUGGUCUUCAGCUUCUUUUACAACCUGUCCCAUCGGUUUCCCGUAGACUUGGGCUGCAGCACUAAAAGUUACUUGAACUUUUAAAACAACAUCCAAUCUGUCAGGUCCGAAUGUACAGUGCGCAAAACAUCCAUGCCUGGGGGAAUAACUCCGACUGUUCCUGAACUGCAGAGAGCAGUUACCUGUGGAAGUUGUUGUCUUGCAGCGGACAAGAACGCUUCCUGUUGCUACGCUAUAUGCCACUCGGAAAUGAGAGGGGGAGAUUUGGAUUAAUGCUGCAAGACGCUUUGCUGUUCAUGAUGAGAGAACAAAAUGAGGGGGAAGUUCACAAGUGAUGGAAUGACCACUUCAUAAAUGGGCCUUUCCACCCAAGUUACAAGAAACCCCUUUUUGCCAGAUGAAGCCGCAUGGAGGACAGAGCAGAGAGAGACACACCCGGGGAAGUCUAGCAUAAGGAAUUUGAACUUCAUUUUCCAGGUAGGAUCAUGUGUUUAAAGCCUGAAAAACUCUUGCCAAAAUUUGAAUUUGAAUGGAAAUAAGAGGUGCACUUUGUUCGCACUUUUGUUCUGAGGCUUCAGUUAAACUCUGUUGUUCCAAUAUGAUCAGUUGUGGCUCAGAAGAACAUAUAUCUUAAAAGGCUGAAUUUCAGGCAUCGAAAAGUAAGUCCAAAUAACCUAUUAGUGAAAUGGUGGCUUUGUAGACGUAUUAUAAACUACCAUAGCACAGUGCAUACAAACUAGUAACAUUCAACAUAAGUAACAAAAGUAUGUUUGGUACAAAAGUUGUAGUACUUCAUUGAGAGGAGUAUUGAGAGUUGGCAGGAUAAUGAGCACAAAUGUGUGAUUUAACGCAGUGAUGUUGUUAUAGGUGUGUUUUUGUGCCCAGGUGGAAGCAAAUGUCUGUCCCUUUGCAAGUCUUACCUUUGGAUUUGAUCUCUUUUUAGAAAAUGGUUCUUGCAUGCAACAUCAUGUUGUUGUUAUCCCUGCACAUCAUUCUGUAUGUAUGAUUUAACUGACUGCAAUGAUGUCAAGCGCAGUUUCGUCUCAGAGUCCUCAGACAGAGUCCUGUCCUCAUACAGUAAAUCUGCAGAUGCAGCACAUAAACAGGAUACAUGUGUGUAAAUGCAGUCAAUUUGUUUGCUUGGUGAGACUUGAACUCUUUUAUUUUCACUUUUCAGUGUAUUCUCCUCUCCUCAUUCUCAUUCCUCACAUCCCUCUAGUUCUCACUCCCUGUUGCUUGGAGGAUUGAACAAAUCAAAUUACUUGUUCUUCCAUGCUGUUAAUGUCAUUAGAUUUUGAAGGACAGCCACAUAAUGCAUCACGGUUAUAGCCGUACCUCCAGAAAUAAUAGGCAUUGCUGUAAUUGUUUCUAUAAUGCCUGUUUGUAGCUGCAUUGGUUGCUCCAUCUUUAUUUGGCUACAUGGAUGAACAAAAUAAGGAACUUGGCUGCAGGCCUUUUCCACCCUG